rnacentral:lncRNA from 1 species
GGCAUGAAAGUUUGAUUUAUUGAAAGGGACUCAUAGUUUUCCAUUUUUUUUUUAAUAAUUGUCUAAUUGUUAAAACAACAGCUUGGGUAAGGGCUUCGUUGUUUACCUUUAUACACAACAACAUAAUUUCACUUUGGUUUCGUUGUUUACCUAAAUACACAACAACAUAUUCACUAUGUACUUGGUAACAGUUAUUAAUUAAUUGAAUAGAAAAUAUUAUAACAAAUAUUAUUGGAUGCCGAAUUGACGUCAAAUAGGUGCCGAUUUGACUAGAUGCCAAUUUAACCAGGUGCCGACUUGACUUGUACGUUUCAAUUCCUCUGCGAUCGUUUGCGGUAUUUUCUUGAGAAAAACCUAUUUUCCAUCAUCAAAGAGAAGAAGAAACUGCUUGAAAAUGAUUCUGGAACGCUGCUUGAAAAUGAUUCUGGAACGCUUCAUGAUUGUUAAAAUAAGUUAAAUUCACUCAAAAAAACAAUUUUAAAACUUGCGAUGUUUAAAC